rnacentral:rRNA from 1 species
UACGUAGGGGGCAAGCGUUGUCCGGAUUUAUUGGGCGUAAAGAGCGUGUAGGCGGCCAAGCAGGUCCGCUGUGAAAACUCGAGGCUCAACCUCGAGCUGUCGGUGGAAACUAUCUGGCUAGAGUCCGGAAGAGGAGAAUGGAAUUCCCUGUGUAGCGGUGAAAUGCGUAGAGAUGGGGGAGAACACUCGUGGCGAAGGCGGCCAGCUAGACCAGUUCUGACACUGAGGCGCGACAGCGUGGGGAGCAAACAGG